GUCAGGAUGGCCGAGCGGUCAGCGCUGCGUUCAGGUCGCAGUCUCCAUUGGAGGCGUGGGUUCAAAUCCCACUUCUGACA
rnacentral:tRNA from 1 species